rnacentral:rRNA from 1 species
UACGGAGGGGGCAAGCGUUGUUCGGAAUUACUGGGCGUAAAGGGCGCGCAGGCGGCUGCUCAAGUCAGGCGUGAAAGGCCUGGGCUCAACCCGGGAAUUGCGCUUGAGACUGGGCUGGCUUGAGUGCGGGAGAGGAUGGUGGAAUUCCCAGUGUAGAGGUGAAAUUCGUAGAUAUUGGGAAGAACACCGGUGGCGAAGGCGGCCAUCUGGACCGCAACUGACGCUGAGGCGCGAAAGCCAGGGGAGCAAACGGG